GACGAACGCUGGCGGCGUGCUUAACACAUGCAAGUCGAACGGAAAGGCCCUGCUUUUGUGGGGUGCUCGAGUGGCGAACGGGUGAGUAACACGUGAGUAACCUGCCCUUGACUUUGGGAUAACUUCAGGAAACUGGGGCUAAUACCGGAUAGGAGCUCCUGCUGCAUGGUGGGGGUUGGAAAGUUUCGGCGGUUGGGGAUGGACUCGCGGCUUAUCAGCUUGUUGGUGGGGUAGUGGCUUACCAAGGCUUUGACGGGUAGCCGGCCUGAGAGGGUGACCGGCCACAUUGGGACUGAGAUACGGCCCAGACUCCUACGGGAGGCAGCAGUGGGGAAUAUUGCACAAUGGGCGGAAGCCUGAUGCAGCAACGCCGCGUGCGGGAUGACGGCCUUCGGGUUGUAAACCGCUUUCGCCUGUGACGAAGCGUGAGUGACGGUAAUGGGUAAAGAAGCACCGGCUAACUACGUGCCAGCAGCCGCGGUGAUACGUAGGGUGCGAGCGUUGUCCGGAUUUAUUGGGCGUAAAGGGCUCGUAGGUGGUUGAUCGCGUCGGAAGUGUAAUCUUGGGGCUUAACCCUGAGCGUGCUUUCGAUACGGGUUGACUUGAGGAAGGUAGGGGAGAAUGGAAUUCCUGGUGGAGCGGUGGAAUGCGCAGGUAUCAGGAGGAACACCAGUGGCGAAGGCGGUUCUCUGGGCCUUUCCUGACGCUGAGGAGCGAAAGCGUGGGGAGCGAACAGGCUUAGAUACCCUGGUAGUCCACGCUGUAAACGGUGGGUACUAGGUGUGGGGUCCAUUCCACGGGUUCCGUGCCGUAGCUAACGCUUUAAGUACCCCGCCUGGGGAGUACGGCCGCAAGGCUAAAACUCAAAGGAGUUGACGGGGCCCCGCACAAGCGGCGGAGCAUGCGGAUUAAUUCGAUGCAACGCGUAGAACCUUACCUGGGUUUGACAUGGAUCGGGAGCGCUCAGAGAUGGGUGUGCCUCUUUUGGGGUCGGUUCACAGGUGGUGCAUGGCUGUCGUCAGCUCGUGUCGUGAGAUGUUGGGUUAAGUCCCGCAACGAGCGCAACCCUUGUUCACUGUUGCCAGCACGUUAUGGUGGGGACUCAGUGGAGACCGCCGGGGUCAACUCGGAGGAAGGUGGGGAUGACGUCAAGUCAUCAUGCCCCUUAUGUCCAGGGCUUCACGCAUGCUACAAUGGCUGGUACAGAGAGUGGCGAGCCUGUGAGGGUGAGCGAAUCUCGGAAAGCCGGUCUCAGUUCGGAUUGGGGUCUGCAACUCGACCUCAUGAAGUCGGAGUCGCUAGUAAUCGCAGAUCAGCAACGCUGCGGUGAAUACGUUCCCGGGGCU
rnacentral:rRNA from 1 species